UACGUAGGGGGCGAGCGUUGUCCGGAAUCAUUGGGCGUAAAGCGCGUGUAGGCGGCUACGUAAGUCUGUUGUGAAAGUCGGAGGCUCAACCUUCGAAUGCCAAUGGAUACUGCGUGGCUUGAGUCCGGAAGAGGAGAGUGGAAUUCCUGGUGUAGCGGUGAAAUGCGCAGAUAUCAGGAGGAACACCAACGGCGAAGGCAGCUCUCUGGGACGGUACUGACGCUGAGACGCGAAAGCGUGGGGAGCAAACAGG
rnacentral:rRNA from 1 species